rnacentral:rRNA from 1 species
GAGUGGCGAACUGGUGAGUAACACGUGGGUAACCUGCCCUUGAAGUAGGGGAUAACACUUGGAAACAGGUGCUAAUACCGUAUAACAACCAAAACCACCUGGUUUUGGUUUAAAACACGGCUUCGGCUGUCACUUUAGGAUGGACCCGCGGCGUAUUAGCUUGUUGGUAAGGUAACGGCCUACCAAGGCGAUGAUACGUAGCCGACCUGAGAGGGUAAUCGGCCACAUUGGGACUGAGACACUGCCCAAACUCCUACGGGAGGCAGCAGUAGGGAAUCUUCCACAAUGGACGAAAGUCUGAUGGAGCAACGCCGCGUGAGUGAUGAAGGGUUUCGGCUCGUAAAACUCUGUUGUUGGAGAAGAACAGGUGUCAGAGUAACUGUUGACAUCUUGACGGUAUCCAACCAGAAAGCCACGGCUAACUACGUGCCAGCAGCCGCGGUAAUACGUAGGUGGCAAGCGUUGUCCGGAUUUAUUGGGCGUAAAGCGAGCGCAGGCGGUUUUUUAGGUCUGAUGUGAAAGCCUUCGGCUUAACCGGAGAAGUGCAUCGGAAACCGGGAGACUUGAGUGCAGAAGAGGACAGUGGAACUCCAUGUGUAGCGGUGAAAUGCGUAGAUAUAUGGAAGAACACCAGUGGCGAAGGCGGCUGUCUGGUCUGUAACUGACGCUGAGGCUCGAAAGCAUGGGUAG